rnacentral:rRNA from 1 species
UACGGGGGGGGCAAGCGUUGUUCGAAAUUACUGGGCGUAAAGGGUUCGUAGGUGGCCCGCUAAGUCAGACGUGAAAUCCCUCAGCUCAACUGGGGAACUGCGUCUGAGACUGGCGGGCUUGAGUGCAGGAGAGGAACGCGGAAUUCCAGGUGUAGCGGUGAAAUGCGUAGAUAUCUGGAGGAACACCGGUGGCGAAGGCGGCGUUCUGGACUGUUACUGACACUGAGGAACGAAAGCCAGGGGAGCAAACGGG